rnacentral:misc_RNA from 1 species
UCUGUUAGUCUAAAAACAUAAAAAUAAUGACAACGAAACUCUCGAAAUGUCAUUAGGAAAAUUUCCAUUCUCAUUUCGAGCUUUUGAGCAUGAUUAAGUGAGAGGAAGCUCUGUCAGUCGUAAGCAUUGCUCAAAAUGUUAAUAUUUCUCCCUGAAUUACCUGAAUCAGAUUGUUUUGAUCAAAGGAUUUAUUUCUACCACAAGCAUGUGAUGACUGUGCAAGCCUAAUUAUUAAGUUGUUUAGCCUCAUGCAAAGGAACUAUUUCAAAAAUGAAAUGUUGAACCUCCUUGUAAAUAAUAUUAACGAAGAAGUUGACAACAAA